CGGCGGGUCCGGCUUGCCGAUCUGCGAACAAGUCUGGGCCAGCAGCGCCAACGGGCUCUUCUUGGCGUCCAGCUGUGGGAGACAGCGGCGAGAGCGGGGAGAGGGAGUGAGACGACCAGACCGACAGAGCCAGCCGGGUUGCAAAUUGGCAGUGGGUGAGUGAGGAGAAACACUGCCCCUUUCCCCAGGGCUGACUGCACUUUGCACCGAUGUUCUGAUGUCCCAAGGUGCUCUGAUGUCCCAAGGUGUUCUGAUGUCCCAAGGUGCUCUGAUGUCCCAAGGUGUUCUGAUGUCCCAAGGUGUUCUGAUGUCUCACGGUGUUCUGAUGUCCCAAGGUGUUCUGAUGUCCCAAGGUGUUCUGAUGUCUCAAGGUGUUCUGAUGUCCUAAGGUGUUCUGAUGUCUCACGGUGUUCUGAUGUCCCAAGGCUGAUGUCAACAUUUCGUUACCUUGCUGCGAAGCCCAACUUGAAGACUACGUUAAUUUACAUUUGCCUGCGCUCCAAUAAUGCGUUCCAGAUCAGCGCCGGCAACUGUGACACUGAGGUAGAUGCUGGCAUUUCCUGGAUAAAAAACCCUCCUUCCUCGUGUGCGGGAGACAAUUUCGGGGCAUUAGUUCCUUGGGGGAAGUUCCACCAGCUCACCAGGUAGGGUAAUCCCAUUUAAAACCAGGGAGCCACCACACGUGAAAAGAGACUCGUCCUUCAUACUGAGGCGAUGGCAUUGUUAUGGGCGCCCCAGUUUCAGGACCAUUCUUCUCAAGGUUAAAAUAAUUCCCCCAAGCUCUAGCUGGUUUGGCUCAGUGGGUAAAGUGUCAGCCUGCGGACCAAAGGGUUCAAUUCCGGUCAAGGGCACAUACCUUGGUUGCAGUCUCCUUCCCGGCCCAGGCCCUGGUUGGGGCUCGUGCAGGAAGCAACCAAUCGAUGUGUUUCUCUCACAUCAAUGUUUCUCUCUGUCUUUCCCUCCCUCUUCCACUCUCUCUAAAAAUCAAUGGCAAAAUAUCCUAGGGUGAGAAUUACAAAGAUAAUAAUAAUAAUUUCCCCCAUAAGGUUGGAUGCGCAUCCCCAGCCCACAUGUGGGGAAGCAGGACUCAGGCAGAGUCACAGGGAGAGUCCUCUGGGCUCUGUCUCUGGGACACCAGCCCAGGUCCAGGUGCACAACGAGCCCUCCUGGAAGGUGUGCGUGUUUCUAGUGCCGCAGCCCCCCACCUGGAGUUCGUGUGGAGGGGGUGACGGGAAGGAUGUGGAGUUCUCUGGACUCUGAGUGCACUGUCUCCCGUGCUGCCUCUCCCCCCAGCAUCCCAGCCUUGGUUUUGACCUCUGUCCUCCCUCCCCAUCCCCCUCUGACUGUCCUCAGGGCUUGGUCCCUUCUCGGCUUCUCUUCCUGCCCUCCAGCACCAGCAGAUGCUCCCCAUUCUAGUUUUAUUAUUUUAUUUCCAUUAUUUUUUUUGGGUGUGCGCGUGCGUGUCUGUCUCUGUUCCUAAGCCGCGAGCCUCUGUGUCUUAUUUAACUCAGUGUCCUCAGUGCCCAGCACAAUGCUUGGGGCCAGGCAAGUUCACGGAACAGAAGAACAAAUUUAUAAACAUGCCACUGCUGGCCAUCCUUCAAGGCUCACCCAGCUCACUCUCUACUGCCCAAUUUCUUUCAGACCAAUCAUCUCUCAAUCCUUACCCUUUAUUCAACAAGCAUUUAUUGAGCACCUAUUAUGGCAUUUGGUGCUAUGAAUAAAUUUGACUAGAUUCCUGUCUUCAAGAAAUGUUAGGAAUAGUUGAAAAUAUAGGUAGGUUACUCAACAAUUGAGAUAGAUGCUAUUAUAGUGAAACAGUUGCAGACUAAUAAAGGCCAUUUUUAAUAACCUUAGAAGAUUUAUUUUAGUGAACGUUUUAUCACUUUGGUGCUAGAAUGAAAUUUUAAUGGAGCCAAGCAUAAAACCCUGAAUUUGCUCUUCUGUUGUAUCACAGAGUAAACAUUUUUCUAAAUUAGAAAAUAAUGUGUUUAUUAUAGAAAUUCAGGAAAAUAUAAAAGUAAAAAGGAGAAAUAAAAUUAUUAACUCACAUUCAGAGAUAACUACUGUUAACUUUUGGUAUAUAUCCUUUUAGCCUAUUUAUUAUCUACCCAUAACUGCCUUUUUUUUUAAAUUUUAGAAACACAAAACAUAAAGCUGGAAUCCUGAGAGUUUUCAUUCCUUUUUCCCCUUUUAUU